CUGGAGACCAAAAAAUUACAGGGGACAACUAAUAAAAGAACAGGGACCGGAGUGAGGUCAAACGAAGUGAACCAGACGGGAACACUGAGCAGAGAACCCCUGGGUUGGGUCGGAGCUGGGCGGAGUUGAGCCCGGCAAGGCCAGGGUCUGACUCAGCCCCACAGCCUCUGCCCAAGUCCACUUCCAAUCCUCAGAAUGGGGCUUGUUUUGUUUAAAGGGGCUUGAAUAUUCUGGACUCCAAAGGCUGUGGGGUCUGGGGCUUGUUUUAUUUAGAAGCUGCUUAUUUGGGGUUUUUGUAAUUGGUGACUUCAGCACAAAGGUAUGAGGGGGGUUCAGUGAUUGGUGUCAUUGUGCCCCUCAUUAAAAUUUUAGAAUCAUCCUAUCCCCACUCCCAUUCAAUUAAGAAAACGCCCCCAAAUUGGUAAAUCUUCUGCUCCGCCCACGUGCACAUCCUAUAUUCCAGGUUUUUCGGACCCUGGGAUAUGUUACAUUCCCCUUUUGAACUAUUGAAUCACAUUGAGGCAACAGACAACAUUGAGGAUGGAGAGAGUGAGGAUUUUUAAUAAUAACUGUUGCAGUGUGGCAUGCAGCUCCAUUCUGUCUGGUAAUUUAACUCCACCCUAACUUGAAAGGGUCAUCAAGAGGGAGAAAUUUCUACUGCAAGACAAGUAUCGUUAUUCCUAUU